AUUGAACGCUGGCGGCAGGCCUAACACAUGCAAGUCGAGCGGAUGAAGGGAGCUCGCUCCUGGAUUCAGCGGCGGACGGGUGAGUAAUGCCUAGGAAUCUGCCUGGUAGUGGGGGAUAACGUCCGGAAACGGGCGCUAAUACCGCAUACGUCCUGAGGGAGAAAGUGGGGGAUCUUCGGACCUCACGCUAUCAGAUGAGCCUAGGUCGGAUUAGCUAGUUGGUGGGGUAAAGGCCUACCAAGGCGACGAUCCGUAACUGGUCUGAGAGGAUGAUCAGUCACACUGGAACUGAGACACGGUCCAGACUCCUACGGGAGGCAGCAGUGGGGAAUAUUGGACAAUGGGCGAAAGCCUGAUUCAGCCAUGCCGCGUGUGUGAAGAAGGUCUUCGGAUUGUAAAGCACUUUAAGUUGGGAGGAAGGGCAGUAAGUUAAUACCUUGCUGUUUUGACGUUACCAACAGAAUAAGCACCGGCUAACUUCGUG
rnacentral:rRNA from 1 species